rnacentral:rRNA from 1 species
AACGAACGCCGGCGGCAUGCCUAACACAUGCAAGUCGAACGAGACCUUCGGGUCUAGUGGCGCACGGGUGCGUAACGCGUGGGAACCUGCCCUUAGGUUCGGAAUAACUCCCCGAAAGGGGUGCUAAUACCGGAUAAUGUCUUCGGACCAAAGAUUUAUCGCCUUUGGAUGGGCCCGCGUUGGAUUAGCUAGUUGGUAGGGUAAAAGCCUACCAAGGCGACGAUCCAUAGCUGGUCUGAGAGGAUGAUCAGCCACACUGGGACUGAGACACGGCCCAGACUCCUACGGGAGGCAGCAGUGGGGAAUAUUGGACAAUGGGCGAAACCCUGAUCCAGCAAUGCCGCGUGAGUGAUGAAGGCCUUAGGGUUGUAAAGCUCUUUUACCCGGGAUGAUAAUGACAGUACCGGGAGAAUAAGCUCCGGCUAGCUCCGUG